rnacentral:misc_RNA from 1 species
GUAGGUGAACCUGCGGAAGGAUCAUUAACACGUGGUUAUCCAUGUUCAACCCUUCGUGCUUGGUGCGUUUGCCUCAAAUCUAUUUUGUGAAUGGAGAUUUUGUUAGGAUGAACUUGGUUUCCAAGGGAAUGGCUUGUGUAACAGUUGAGGUUGCGAAGUACAAGUGAUUUCGACAGUGAGAAGCUUUCCAUCCUAUUGCAGUUUCCAUUUAUAGACUCAAUUGAUUCAAAAAACCCCGUAGUUAACUUAU